AUUUCAGCAUGACUUGUAUAAAUACUCUUUCGAGUCUAUGUUUUCAUGAUGUUAGUCAAUCAUAUGAAGUUGCUUGAGAGUGCAUUUGUUAGUUACUGGCUGGAAAAAGUGGGCCCUGGCAUCCCACCCAGAAGGAAUGAUUUUCCCGAGAGGAAAUGGCUGGAAGUGAGUGAAAAUCUGGAAUCCAGGAACAGGAUUUAAUCAUGGCAUUAUGAGGUCACUCUCUCUGUAUCAGGAUGUGACCAACUUGUGGAGUUGGGUUAGUUGGCUUCAUUAUCCUCCUGCAACAUUUCCUUUGCACUUGUUGAUUUCCAU